rnacentral:lncRNA from 1 species
UUUGGAUUCAGCCCGCCUGCACCCAGGUGAAAUAAACAGCCUUGUUGCUCACACAAAGCCUGUUUGGUGUUCUCUUCACGCGGAUGUGACAGACAUCUGGUGCCGAAGACCCGGGUCAGAGGGACUCCUUCAGGAGACCAGUCCCCUGUCCUCACCCUCACUCCAUGAAGAGAUCCACCUAUGUAUGACCCUGGGUCCUCAGACCAACCAGCCCAAGGAACAUCUCACCAAUUUCAAAUUGGAUCUUCUCGGCUCAGUGGCUGAAGACUGACGUUGCCUGAUCACCUCGGAAGCCUCCUGGACCAUCACAGACGCUUUGGGUAACUCUUACAGUGGAGGGAUACAAUUGAAGACACUGGUUAUUUUACCAAGGCUUUGAUUGGAAUGGCUUACUUUCAGAUAUAAAUCAACUGCUUUAAGGAAUCAAAGUUGACUUACAGAGUCAUAAAAGCCCCUUGGGAAAGCUGGCCUCAUGCCUUUCCACACAGUUCCUGUACAGUUUCCUGACGUGUGUUAUGCUGUGCUUUCUUAAAACCCUGUGAACUGAAGCUACACAACUUAAACUUCAGAAGAAAAUAACAGCAACCUAUAUGCCAGCCUACUGAUGUAUGAACUUCAGAGAAAAAUGGCUCUAUCUUUU